UACGUAGGUGGCGAGCGUUGUCCGGAUUUACUGGGCGUAAAGGGAGCGUAGGCGGACUUUUAAGUGAGAUGUGAAAUACCCGGGCCCAACUUGGGUGCUGCAUUUCAAACUGGAAGUCUAGAGUGCAGGAGAGGAGAAUGGAAUUCCUAGUGUAGCGGUGAAAUGCGUAGAGAUUAGGAAGAACACCAGUGGCGAAGGCGAUUCUCUGGACUGUAACUGACGCUGAGGCUCGAAAGCGUGGGGAGCAAACAGGAUUAGAUACCCCUGUA
rnacentral:rRNA from 1 species